rnacentral:rRNA from 1 species
AUUGAACGCUGGCGGCAGGCCUAACACAUGCAAGUCGAACGAGUGGCGGACGGGUGAGUAAUGUCUGGGAAACUGCCUGAUGGAGGGGGAUAACUACUGGAAACGGUAGCUAAUACCGCAUACCAUCAGAUGUGCCCAGAUGGGAUUAGCUAGUAGGUGGGGUAAUGGCUCACCUAGGCGACGAUCCCUAGCUGGUCUGAGAGGAUGACCCACCACAAUGGGACGGAGGAACGGUCCAGAAACCGACGGGAGGCAGCAGUGGGGAAUAUUGCACAAAGGGGGAAAGCCCGAUGGCGCCAUGCCGGGUGUGGUAAGAAGGCCUUCGGGUUGUAAAGCACUUUCAGCGAGGAGGCGUUACUCGCAGAAGAAGAACCGGCUAACUCCGUGCCAGCAGCCGCGGUAAUAC